ACCUAUAUAGUUUAAUUAAAAUGUUGGUUUGUGGUGUCAAUGAUGAGGGGGUUGAUCUUUCUUUGGGUU
rnacentral:tRNA from 1 species